rnacentral:lncRNA from 1 species
AGAAAACAAAUUAAGCUUGCCUCUGAAAUUGUUCGGUGUCAAUGAACUUCAGAGAUAGCUGCAAUUAAAGAGCAGAAAUGUUGUUAAAUUUUACUAAGAAUAUAGUAAACCUGAUAUCUUAAUCAAUUAAGUUCAUAUAUCAGGGAAACCAUAUAUCAUGCAUGCAUAUAUAUACUCUAUGUUACUUUAACAAACUCUAUUUUCAGCUUUUUGUGAAGAAAAAACUAUUGCUCAAAAAAUAAUUACCUAUAAGUGUCUACGACUAUGAAAAGAGAUAGUCACACUAGUCGUAAUCAUAUUUAGCGAGAAAUAAAUAAAAUAAAAAACAUAUUUAGCCCCUAUUCCAUAUGCCUUGCUACGCUAAGCAUGGUAACAUUAGCCGUUUAUAGGCCCAAAUAGAGACUUGACUAUCAGCGGCUCCUCUGUUUUCUAACCAGAAAAGGAAAGUGUUUCCUUCUUUACAAACUACUACACAUAUUUCCGCGUACACGCAUAGCAUACAACCAACUAUAAGCCACGGAACUUGAAUAGAGAAACACUUCAAAUCAUCGAUUCAAUAUCUUCAAUUGAAGCCAAAAAAAUAUUUAAUACUAUAAUUUAAAUUUUUUUCUAAAAAGCAAAACACUUCAAAUCAUCGAAUCAAUUGAAAAGCAUAAAUUAAGUAUACUUUUAGAAAAAAACAAAGAUAUACACCGUGUUCGGAAACAACAACAGCGUGCAAAGCAUUACAACAGAGUUAUAAACCAUACGCUACGAAACUUCACGCUCGAACAGGAAAUAUAAAAUUAUCAAAUCAAGCAAAAAUAGAAGAAGUAAAUAUAAGUAUUCUGAAAAGCAAACACGUACUCCGAUUUUGAUAAGCAUUACAACAUGCGAAGAAGAAUAACGGAAUCAGAAAGUAUAGGCUUUGAAACUUAACCUUUCUAGAUUCAAAUUAUAAAGUCAAUUACCUAAUUUCAAAAGCAAAAAGAGCAGAAAUUAACGUGCUGAAAAGCAAACACGAUCAUAACAUGCAAAGCAGAAUAACGGAAUUAGAAAGCAUAUGUUAUGAAAUUUCAACUUAAACAGGAAAAGGAAACUUAAAUUGCCGAAACAAAUUUGUUCAUUUCGAAAGCAAAAAAGAGUAAAAAUGAACUAAAAUUUCUGAUAAGCAAAAACGAACUCCGAUUUUGAUAAGAAUUAGAGCAUGCAAAGCAGAGUUAGAAACCGUACACGAUCGAGAUAGAUGUUGCCGUGGACAUUGUCAUGAACGUGUUUGGAGAAUCGCCGAUCGUCGACGAAAGAAGUGGCGGAGGUGUAGGUCCGGAAGUCAUCGUUGCUACAAUCUCCCAUUGGUAGCUGUUUCAGGUAUAUACUGUUGUCGAAACUUCUGGAGAAUUCCGGAGAUAGUACUUUGGUUCUUAGUGUAAAGGUUUCGAUUGAGAGAAUUUGGUUGUGUUAGCGUUUCUGCUUGCUUUUAUAGGCGGGGAGAGUGGAGAGGGAAAGGCGUCAGGUACAGGAAUAUUUGCAGUGGUGGUGAAGUGAUGCCGCCAAAUAAAAUAAAUUUCUUAGUCUACGCGCGGCGGAAGAGCGUGCUAGAACCUCGACUUUAUUUACUUUUUCUUUUGUAUUUUCGUGUUAGACAAUGCAUUUCAAAUGACAACAAAGGGAUGGUUCUGCUAUGAAUUCUUUUCUCUCCGUUCAAUACCUGCAUGAAUUUCCGACUAAUUUGAAUUUAUAUCACAUAAGACUUGCUAAAGUAAAAGUGUUUUCCAUCAAUUUUCACAUAAUUAAG